UGGCGACCCAAAAGGGACUUGAACCCUCGACCUCCAGCGUGACAGGCUGGCGCUCUAACCAACUGAGCUAUUGGGCC
rnacentral:tRNA from 1 species